rnacentral:rRNA from 1 species
UACGUAGGGUGCGAGCGUUGUCCGGAAUUAUUGGGCGUAAAGAGCUCGUAGGCGGUGUGUCACGUCGUUCGUGAAAACCUGCAGCUUAACUGUGGGCGUGCGGUCGAUACGGGCAUCACUGGAGUUCGGCAGGGGAGACUGGAAUUCCUGGUGUAGCGGUGAAAUGCGCAGAUAUCAGGAGGAACACCGGUGGCGAAAGGCGGGUCACUGGCCCGGUACUGACGCUGAGGUGCGAAAGCGUGGGGAGCAAACAGG